GACGAACGCUGGCGGCGUGCCUAAUACAUGCAAGUCGAACGCAGUGGGGACGGGUGAGUAACACGUGGGUAACCUCCCAUCAGAGGGGAUAACACUUGGAAACAGGUGCUAAACCGAUACUGAUGGAUGGACCCGCGGGGCAUUAGCUAGUAGGUGGGGUAACGGCUCACCAAGGCCACGAUGCAUAGCGGGCCUGAGAGGGUGAUCGGCCACACUGGGACUGAGACACGGCCCAGACUCCUACGGGAGGCAGCAGUAGGGAAUAUUGGGCAAUGGGCGAAAGUCUGACCGAGCAACGCCGCGUGAAUGAAGAAGGUUUUCGGAUUGUAAAGCACUGUUGUUAGAGAAGCGGUAUCUAACCAGGAAGCCACGGCUAACUCCGUGCCAGCAGCCGCGGUAAUAC
rnacentral:rRNA from 1 species